AUAUUGUGUCAGUUUUCUGUAUGAAUGUUUUGUUGCACAUCAGUGCUUCUCAACCUACCUGUACAAACCUGGAAAACUCUAGAAUAAGGAAUAAAGAAAUAAUGGACGUGGGCAUAGACAUUAUAGAGCACAGCUCGGUUGUAGAUUGUGCGGCGGAAUGCAAACUCCGUAACAAGUGCACAUCAUUCAGCUUUCAGCGUUCUAAUGGAAAAUGUAAACUUUUUGGAAUUACAAUCGAACAAGCCGGGAACUCAGUUGCAACACAGGUUGGAACUGACAUACAAAAUAUUGUGGCCUGGCCUUCUAGAAUAGCCGGACCUUGUGCGAACCACAACUGUCUCAGCACUGACAUUUGUGAACCGACCAGCCAGUCUUCAGUGCAAUGCGUCACAGUCUACUGUCCAUCCAUUCCAAAUGUUCUGCACGCUAAAGCCGACUUCAUCACAACCUACGAGACGACAAAAGUAGGAAGUCAACUGUCUUACACGUGUGAUGUUAACUUCCAUCCAGUUGGUAACAGAACCUGUCUCCCAAACGGAACGUGGUCUGACUUCAGAUGUGAACCUGAUUGCCCCGCCCCACCCCCUGUGGCGAAUGCCGUUCCUGCAUACACAGGCCAGCCCAACUCCACUGUUGGUACCGUGCUGUCAUACACGUGUAACACCUUUUAUGAACCAGCGGGCGAGAUGCGGUGUUUGGCUGGAGGAAUUUGGUCGAAUUUCACAUGUUCAGGUGGCUGCCCAACGGACGACGGGUACACGUUUCUUGAAUCACCGGCAUUAUGCUUUAAGAUUGUCCUUGACAAAAAUCCAUAUGCUGUAGCACGUGACGCCUGCAUCCAAUCAGGUAGCAGAUUGAUCGUCUUAGACACGCCGGAGAAAAAUGCAAAAAUCAUUAACUAUUUCACGUCCCAUAAUUUCGUAGGUUAUUUCCUGAUUGGCCUGACCGACAAACAGAAAGAAGGAGUGUUUGUCUGGGAGAACGGAGUUGUCGCUGAAUUCACAAAGUGGGAGCCUGGUGAACCAAACAAUCGUAACGGUUACGAAAACUGCGUGGUGCUGAAAUCGGCAUCGUUGUCAUGGUUCGACACCUUGUGCGCAACACCAAGGAACUACAUCUGUGAGAAACAACCCUGAUCAUGAUAGUAACAACCAUGCUUUGUUUAAGUCGUUUGCGAGAAACAACCCUGAUCAAGGUGGUAACAAACAUGCCUUAUUUAAUUAAUACAUCUAUGAGAAACAACCCUGAUCAAGGUGGUAACAACCAUGCCUUGUUUAAUUAAUACAUCUGUGAGAAACAACGCUGAUCAUAUCAUGAUUAUUUUUGAUGCGGCCGCCUCAUAUCUUGCAAAAGUGUCGCGAUGUCACUGUAAUGCUGAACAUUCAGAUUCCCAUGGAUCGAUGUAAAUGAAGUAGUUUUGUCCGAUGUCACGAAUUCCUGCCCACACCAUGACGCAAACACCACCACAUCGGUCACGUUCAGAGCAUGAGGGACGCUGUACCACUGUCAGUGUCCAGUGUGAUGAGACACGUUACCGACAAUUUUUUGAUUUUCGCAUAUGGACCCACAAGCACCAUUUAACGAUGUGACAGUCACACAUUUCAGUUUGUGUUGAACAUUUUCUAUAACUUAUAUUAACACACCGUGCCUCAAUUAAAUGCACUGCCUGGUUUUAUUUUGUAAGUCACAGGGUUUCUUUUAUUUACGCAAAAUUACCAAAUUGCUAAAC
rnacentral:misc_RNA from 1 species